AUACGUAGGGGGCGAGCGUUGUCCGGAAUGAUUGGGCGUAAAGGGCGCGUAGGCGGCGCGGUAAGUCUGGAGUGAAAGUCCUGCUUUCAAGGUGGGAAUUGCUUUGGAUACUGCCGCGCUUGAGUGCAGGAGAGGUUAUCGGAAUUCCCGGUGUAGCGGUGAAAUGCGUAGAGAUCGGGAGGAACACCAGUGGCGAAGGCGGGUAACUGGACUGCAACUGACGCUGAGGCGCGAAAGUGUGGGGAGCAAACAGGAUUAGAUACCCUGGUAGUCCACACUGUAAACGAUGAAUGCUAGGUGUAAGAGGUAUCGACCCCUUUUGUGCCGGAGCCAACACAAUAAGCAUUCCGCCUGGGGAGUACGGCCGCAAGGUUGAAACUCAAAGGAAUUGACGGGG
rnacentral:rRNA from 1 species